rnacentral:rRNA from 1 species
AUGAUGCUUCCAGAGCAAGGGAAAAAGAGAAAACUCACUCCGCCCGAGCGGCGCAUGGCGUCGUGCUCCGUCGAGGACCCCAAGCCAAGACAGACCCAGCAAAACGCCUCGGCCCGCAAAAAAAUUUGCGGGGCGCGGCAAAUCUUCUCCCCCAACCUCUAUCUUCACGGGCUGGGAGGCCGACCCGAGCUCAACCCCCAUCCGGCGCGAGAUUUGACGGGAGGGACAUUUCCGCGCCCCCUUUCCCGCUUCCCGCACCCUCCGCCACCAUUGCCCCCCUCCGAAAGCUCCAGCUGCUCCUCCCCGGCCGUCCCUCGCCGCCAUGGACGACCCCAUGCUGCCCCCCGUCACCGUCGAGGUCGCGCACGCCCCUUCCCCUCGGACGGAUCUCGUCGCCGGCCAUAUAGGCCCCGACGGCGUCGCCCAAGCACACGCCACGCCUGCCCGCCAGCGGUAGGGCAACGUACUUGUGCAAGGCGGGAAUCCGGCUGCCCCCGCCGCGAUGGCCCGCGCUCCGGGCGGCAAUGCCGUUGUGCGAUCCCGGCCGGCGGCGGAGAAGGCCAGCAAGGUCGCGAGCGCAAAGCGGAGGAAUGUUCCGACUUCAAGGAACAAAUCUUCUUCAACCUCUCGCUCCAUCCCCCCGCAAGGAGGUGCUCCGGCGAUGCCGUUCAACGGUGCCGCUCCCCCCGCGAGCGAGGUGUUCGACGAAAUGGCCGGAAGAGCGGUGGUUCGAACAAUGCAACAACCGAGUUCGUGAACUUGUUGGACAUGAACGCGGUUGACAUUGAUCAAGCCCCCUUCGAACCUUUCGACUACAAUGAAACAGAGUGCGGCGUGGACGAUCAUGAGAUAUUGGCAAGGAUCGAAGAUCAAUACUUCCGCAUUAUGAAAAACUACCCCAACAAGACUCCACGCACAUUUCGGUCACUUCAAGGUCGUUGGGAGAACAUCAAGCCUAUGUGCAGCCGUUGGGCAGCUUGCUUGGAGCAAGUACGCAAUGCACCUCCAAGUGGCACCGUGGAGUCUGACUAUGACAAGAUUGCUCAACAUAGAUACAAGGACAUGGAAGCUUCGGAAGGCAGAUUCUUCAAAUUAGAGCAUUGUUGGGAGUUGCUCCAAAAGUGCGACAAUUGGAAGUUGAUCGACAAAGAGUCCCCACCAAAGAGAGGCUCACUUACAAACAUGGAUGAAGAUGAGGAUGAUGAUGGCCCAAGAAAUUUGAACAAGCCCGAUGGCGACAAGAAGACUAGAGAGAAGAUAAAGAGAGAGCAAGAAGCAUCGAGCUUGAGGGAGAAGAUUGAUGCCAUGGUGCAAUCAAACGAGUUAAUGUUGUUGAAGUCGUUGGAGAUCAAGAAAGAGUUGGCCAAAAAGAAGGCAAAAGAGAAGCAAGAAAAAUGGCAAAUGCUCAAGGAAGAGGGGCUGCGCAGAGCUGCCAUUGAGGAGAGAAAAGUACGCGCCUCUGAAAACAAAUCGUUGUCAUUGUUGCUCGCCGAAGAGAACAAGAUCAUGUCAAUGAACCGCAAUGACAUGGACGACGUCACCAAAACAUGGCAUGAUAUGGCAAGGAGAGAGAUCUUGAAGAGGAGAAUGGUCGCCUCGGCCGGUCCGUCUGCCAGUUCCGGUGAUGUUUUCUCUGCUCCAUACGGUGGCAAUGUGGAUGAUUUCGGUGCGGGAGUUGGAACAAGCGAUGAAGGUGGCUACGGUGGCGCCGAUGAACUUCAAGAUGGACUCCAUGGCGUCGAGUGA